ensembl:lncRNA
CCUCUGGGAAGAAGAGAGCAUGGCCAGCAUGGCCAGGACGGAGAAGGAAGAAACGGCAGCGCAGGCAGCAGCCACGGAAGGUUUUUCAAGCCUCGGCUGGGGGACAGAUUUAUCGCACAAGCAAGUACAGGCAGACCCCAUUUCUCUCCAUGGACUCUUCUGCUCUACCUCCCAAUGCCCCUACUCCCAAGGAGCCAGGAGACAUCAUUCUUCACACUUGUAAAACACUUUCCUAACAAAGCGUAAUGGAUGCAAGGGGGAUUAUGUGAUGGACUCCAUUGUACUUCGUUUCCAUAAUGUUUUUAAAGUGUUUAGAAAUUGGGGGGGGGUGCAGGGGGCUGUGUGGGAUAAUGUCCUCUGUCUGCAUUGAGAUCCCUCUCAACCAUUUUAAAUGACAACAGAAUUAAGAUCCAAGACAAAAUAUUGACCUGUGACUUCGGCACCUUCACUUUUCUUUUCUGUGGGUUUUAACAUCUUUGCCUGAUGAAGAACCGAGUGAAGCUUUGACAGCUUGCGUAAUAUAUUUUGUACAUUUUGGUUGCCCAUUAAAGGUACUGCUCUUUUGUUGAUUUUUGAUGUUAUGGUUUAAGAAUAUAGCUCAGAGACAUGUAUAGACUGAUCAAAUAGUCGUUAUGUGCUCUAAUUUUCUUAAUGUGAGUUGAGCAACAAAGCCAUUAUAGGACAUAUAGGAACAAGGAGAGCUUCUUUAAAGAAUGAAUGGUUGAUUUGUGGCAGGACUGAAUGCCCAAUCUGAAUCUCAAUCCAGUUCCCCAACAGGCCACAACCUUUCUCUGUGAUACAUUUAUUGGUGGUUGUUUCUCAGCUUUUGUACAGAUUCUUCCCCAUUCUACGAAAAGUUGAAAUGCCUCUGCUAGUUCUUGACAGGAUGUGGUUUAACCUAAAAUAUGCUGGCAUUUUUGUUCCUACCCCUCUGCCUUGGUCUACACCCACCACUGGAAUGCCAUACUCAGGAACGUCUCUGAACCCAAGUCUAGCCCUCCGGCUGAAAGAGGUCUGCCACCCUUGAUUAAGGGAAUGCAGGGCCAUAUAGUUUUUGGCAGAGCUUAACUGGCUGUAAAAACAGAUGGAGGAAAAAUAAUACAAGUAUGCCUGAGAGCCAGCGUGGCAUAAUGGUUUGAGUGUUGGACUAUGACUCUGGAGACUAAGUUUCGAAUCACUAUUUGGCCAUGAAAAGUCUGAAGGUAACCUUGGGCAGAUCACGCACUCUCAGCCCCAAAGAAACCCUAUGAUUAGUUCAUUUUAGAGUCACCAUAAGUCAGAAAUGAAUCGAAGGCACACAACAACAACAACAACAACAACAACAACAACAACGAGAUCUUAGCCAUUCAGAUAUAAUAUCUUUUCACAUUACUUUCUCCUAAAAUCUGUUGUUAGAACCAGCAGUCAAAAAUCACGCACAUACGCUUUCAAUGUCUAGUAAAAUUUGAUGAACUUUAGUACAUUUCCCAUCGAACUGGAAAUGCCUUAGAGGGAAAAAGCAGCAGAACUCCGGAUGGGGUUUCUACUCCAAUAUCCUGAGGUGUCAAUGAAGUGGAUCAUUCUUAGCAGUGAGUACAUCAUUAUCCAAGUAAAAUACUAGAAAAAGGAAGUGAUUUAGUAAGUAUUUGGCACAAGAGGUCUGGGGAAAAAUAAGCUGAUAUCUUAACUUGGAAUGAUAUUUUCCACUGUGUUCUGUUGCGAGUCGGUCAGAAAAGUUGCAAUAUUGGACUUCAGAGUAUUACUUUCAAGGUCAAGAUCUGUGGUGAAUAAGACUAAAGGAAUACAACACUAACUAAAAAAGCAUAAGUAAUAAAGGUAUAAAUCAGGGGUCCCCAAACUAAGGCCCGGGGGCCGGAUACAGCCCUCCAAGGCCAUUUACCUGGCCCCCGCCCUCAGUUUUGGACUUAGUCUCACCCAAAGUCUGAAAUGACUUGAAGGCACAACAACAACAAUCCUACUUGAUUAUCUCAUUGGUCAGAAGCAGGCUCACACUUCCCACUGAAAUCCUGAUAAGUUUACAGUAUGUUGGUUAAAAUUAUUUUUAUUUUUAAAUAUUGUAUUGUUCUUUCAUUUACUAAUAUUGUAAAUGAAAUAUUGUAAAUGAAUGAUAUGGUAAUAAUAUAAUAUAUUGUGUAUACAUAUAAUAUUGAUAAUAAUAUUAUAAUGUAAUACAAUAUAAUAUUUAUUUAUUUAUUACAGUAUUUCUACCCCACCCUUCUCACCCAAUAGGGCACUCAGGGUGGCUAAUAAUAAUAAUACAAUAUAAUAAUAUUGUAUAAUAUAAUAUUAUAUUAUUUCCAUCCUCCAGGAAAUAAUGCCCGGCUGCUCACUGAGGGAAGGAUAUUAGAGGCAAAGC